rnacentral:rRNA from 1 species
UUUAAUCCGGACGAAAUUCAAUCUGAUCCCGCACUGAGAAAACAAAUUGUUGAAUAUGCACCACAAAUUCAAGACCAAGUUAGGAGGGCGUACAUAUUAAAGGGUCGAACCAAACCAGUAUUAGAAUUUCGCCGAACGGAUUCAAGAGCAUUUUCUAAGUCAUGGUAUGAAAAGUAUAACUGGAUAGAAUAUAGCAAGUCCGAGGAUGCAGCUUUUUGUUUCUAUUGUUUCUUAUUCAAGCAACCUGGAAGGGCUGAACACUUUGGGUUUGAAGUCUUCACCAAAACAGGUUUUAGGGACUGGAAACAUGCAUAUAGAGCCUUACCUGAGCAUGUAGGUGGUCUGAAUAGUGGUCACAACAAUUGU